ACAGAUAGGGUAACAGUACCUUAUCAGUGGUGUCUGCAAUAUAUCCGUAAAAGGUGGAUCAAGAAAGAGAGGAUUACACCGAUAAGAAGAAGUUGGCAGACCUUCAUAUAUGCUAUUUGCUUUUACGACGUUCAGCACGCAGGUUUGCCAACGCAUUUGUCAUUCGCGCGGCGAUAUUCGAGCCGGCAGGGAAUAACGAAAGUCGUUCCACGCCAUCCCUUCUAGAAAGGUAAUUCUUUACGAAUAAUUAGCCAUUAUUAAUUAUCAGAUUAUUUUCAAUUAUUCAAUUUAUUAAAUUGGGUUAAGGAUUCAUCGUAUUUCAAAGUAUCAAGACUGCAAGUCUCGAAAUUAUUUCGUCGUACGAUUACUCGAAGUGCGAUUUUGGCGGGAAACGGCAUCGCUUCGCGAUCGCGAAAUUUGGGAGUGUCGUACAAAGUGUCGCGCGUUUAAAUGCGGGAGUGCCGUUUAAAGUAUCGUGCGUGUCAAUCAACGGACCCUGAUGACCCUGACGACCUGAGAGGAUGAGAAGGCCUAGGCAUCCGGCCAGAGCAAUCCUGGGGUAAAUACUUAUUAUUUUGUACAUUAGUUGUUGUAUACAUUGCGUAAGAGUAUUAAUUUAAUUUAUUUAUUUGAAUUUAAACAAAAAAGAAACUUUUAUAUAUAAAUACUAUAAAAAUUUCUAUUUCAAAAAUAAUUUUUUUUUAAUUUAUAAAAUUAUUCUAUCCGGUUAUUAUUAUACGCAUCAGAUAUAAAAUUCGGCGGAUACCAUAAUAAUUUUUUGAAAUAUUAAUUAUUUUGAACGCUGCUAUAAUUUGAAUUUUAUAUUUAUAUGUUACAGAUCAACGCAGCUUUAAUAACAAUACGCUGUUGCGUACCAGUAUCAGUGAGUGAAAUUUUUAUUUAAUUUUAAGGCAACAGAUUUAUAGAGAUUGUAGAUGUAGACAGAUCCGUUGUCUUAAAAUGAUAUAAUUACCGAUCUAUAAUAUAGUUCAACAAAAAAAAAAAAAA